GGUCCUAAGCUGAGGCCGACAGGCGUAGGCGAUGGAUAACAGGUUGAUAUUCCUGUACCACCUAUAAUCGUUUUAAUCGAUGGGGGGACGCAGUAGGAUAGGCGAAGCGUGCGAUUGGAUUGCACGUCUAAGCAGUAAGGCUGAGUAUUAGGCAAAUCCGGUACUCGUUAAGGCUGAGCUGUGAUGGGGAGAAGACAUUGUGUCUUCGAGUCGUUGAUUUCACACUGCCGAGAAAAGCCUCUAGAUAGAAAAUAGGUGCCCGUACCGCAAACCGACACAGGUAGUCAAGAUGAGAAUUCUAAGGUGAGCGAGCGAACUCUCGUUAAGGAACUCGGCAAAAUGACCCCGUAACUUCGGGAGAAGGGGUGCUCUUUAGGGUUAACGCCCAGAAGAGCCGCAGUGAAUAGGCCCAAGCGACUGUUUAUCAAAAACACAGGUCUCUGCUAAACCGUAAGGUGAUGUAUAGGGGCUGACGCCUGCCCGGUGCUGGAAGGUUAAGAGGAGUGGUUAGCUUCUGCGAAGCUACGAAUCGAAGCCCCAGUAAACGGCGGCCGUAACUAUAACGGUCCUAAGGUAGCGAAAUUCCUUGUCGGGUAAGUUCCGACCCGCACGAAAGGCGUAACGAUUUGGGCACUGUCUCAACGAGAGACUCGGUGAAAUCAUA
rnacentral:rRNA from 1 species